rnacentral:piRNA from 1 species
UCCCUGCGAUGUAGGAAUGAUGGCUGUGU